AACGUAGGUGGCGAGCGUUAUCCGGAUUCACUGGGCGUAAAGAGAACGUAGGCGGCUUUUCAAGUCGGAUGUGAAAUCUCUCUGCUUAAUGGAGAGACGUCAUCCGAUACUGUUGAGCUUGAGGGCGACAGGGGAAGGUAGAAUUCCCGGUGUAGUGGUGAAAUGCGUAGAUAUCGGGAGGAAUACCAGUGGCGAAGGCGGCCUUCUGGGUCGUUUCUGACGCUUAUGUUCGAAGGCGUGGGGAGCAAACAGG
rnacentral:rRNA from 1 species